rnacentral:lncRNA from 1 species
GUUCAAACGCUGGGCUCAGAGAUCGUGGCAGAGUCGGCCUUGUGUCUCUGUCAGUGCACACGGGUGUGGUGAGGGCCACCUAAGCCAGUGUGUGCGCGUGAGGACACUGGGGGGACCUACAUACCCAAAGGACCCGCGGUCGCGGCGCUGGGUCCCCUGUGAAGGACGUGGCCAGUUGGAGGCACUAAGUCUAGAAAUAGCCCCCCGUGAGCCGAUGUGUGAAGGAGUCUCCUCCAGUCGCACUAGAGACGCCUUUUUUGAAUAACGUAUUACGGCAGAGUCAGGUUUAUAAAGCCUUGGGGCGGUACGGAACAUGCUGCCUGUCCCCCGUCUGGGUCCAGCGUUUCUAUCCGAACGGAAACCAGCAGCUUCUGGGAGGAACAACCGUCAGAAGUAAACGCGGUCUGAAACGCACUAGGUAGUUACUAAGCAAGUGUGCAAACAAACCGUGUCUACAUUUGAGUACGAUUUCUACACAGAUAGUUUUCAGCGAUUAGAAUGCAGGAAAGGGCAGAAAUGUCAAACACACCUGAAGUCUUUUUACUUGUUAAGUUUCUUAUAAAGAAUCACCGAGGUGCAUGAUUCCUGUACGUACUGACCGCUCUACGUUUACAAAGCCAGCAGCCCACACAGGUCCCUGGCUACCUGUGCUCACGUGACGCGGUUGGGGAGCAGGGGGUAAAUAAAAGAUCUUGCUGAAAACCAGAGUGAAGUGGUAAAGCGGUCUGUUGGAGAGGUGACGUGGGACUUGGGCAGAGGCUCCGAGAGGGCCACUCGUUGCAGGCUCUUGGUUUCUGGAUCGUGUCACAGAGGCAGGCGGACCCCUAAUGGUGGUCACGUACUGGGAAUGAAGCAAGAGGUAGUUCUCAGUAAUGGGCACGGAGUGGGGAAAAGGAGCAGGUCCAUGGAAGGUUCUGGAACUGCAGGUGUCACUCUGGACAAAGAACAAGGACCGGGCUUCAGGAGAGCUGAGGAUUCGGGACUCGGUGCCAGGAACUUGCUCCCACGUCACCUUGCGCAAGUCAUGGAGCCUCUGGGAGCCUCAGUUUCCUUCACUGUAGAGACAGUGCCUGGCACGUGAAGCAGCGAGGUUGGUUCCCUUCCUGACAUAGCAGUGGUUCUAAGCAGUUACAGACAAACAGGUGAGGAGGAAGGAUGGGUGAGGAAGAGAUGGACGAACCCACCGGAUCGGUGGUAGAGGCGGCCGGGGAGCUGCGGCUUCUUUCUGUUGUCUGUGUCUAACCUCGGGGAGAAAGAAGCAGGGCCCUUGGUGGCUCUGUUUUGAACGUUUCCCCUUGUCUUAGAAGAAGGACAGGGAGUUCUGGUGGCCUGGAGCCCCAGGCGAUGCCUGGCUGCCAGGUGUUUUCAUAGCAAAGCUGGCCAGGCUGCCACAGCAGGUGGGAGGGAGGAGCACCGUGCGCGCUGGGCCACGAUAUUUCUCGCUCUCCUGAAGCGCGUGUUGCCAGCUAGGCAACUGCCAAAGUCAUUCACAUGUUGCAGCCGGGGAUGCCCAAGGUGAGAGAAGGGAGGCAGCAUGCCUGCCCAGCUUCGAACGGGAAGCCCUGCCUUCCACCCAGAGGCAGCCUGCCUCGGCUGCAAGGCCGGAUCGGUGACUCAGUUUGACAAGGUCCCCUCCCAGGUCUGCCAGGCACCUGCUCAUCAUCCCCCGAAGUCGCCUAGAUUGUCUGGUUCUGAGUCCUGCUUUGCUGACAGCAGCCACCCUUGCAGCAUUGAGUAGUGCCCUGCAGCGUGUGGGGGGGGAGGAGAAGGGUAGUCCUCACCCACUGGCUCUGGACUUUGGCUGCACAGUACAAUCACCCAGGGAGCUUUUGAGAAACACUGACGCUCACACCCUGCCCCCAAGGCAUCUCAGUUCUUUGGCCAGGUCUCGGUAUUUGUUUCAACUCAUUUCCUGGGCUGACUCUAAUGUGUAGCUGGAGCUGAGGGUCGAUGCCCUGAGCAGCAAAAAUGGCAAGGCCUUUGAAAUCAGCCAGCUGGAGGUUCAAGGCUCAGCUGUGCCCCUGUGUGAUACUGGGAUAGGCCACCUAACCUUGGCCUCUAGGGGAUGGUCACUGUUUCAACACUCUCCUCCAGCAGUACUCGGACGAGCCUCUUGCAAGACCGUCACAUUCCCCUUUCUCAGUCCUUGGAUUUCCAGGACCUGACCCAGCCCCAGCUGCAGGGCUAGGCACAUGACCCACACCUGACCAGUCACCAGAGCCUUCCAGACUCCUGGGUACUAAGGGCUGGGCACAUGAUCCAAGUGCUCUCCUGGGACCAUUGAGAAAGAGAGGCUACUUUUCGAGGGAUGGGAGUGGGGGAUCCAGUGUAAGAAAAUCUGAGAGUGAAACCCACAGAGGAGAGCAGGUCUCUCAUCUUGUGGAGAUCAUGAGUCCUAAUAUAGCUUUGCCUGGAACCAGCCCUACCUCUGGACUUUUCCGUACAUGAGCCAAUAAACUCCCUUUUAACUCU